rnacentral:rRNA from 1 species
GAUUGGAGUCUGCAACCCGACUCCAUGAAGCUGGAUUCGCUAGUAAUCGCGCAUCAGCCACGGCGCGGUGAAUACGUUCCCGGGCCUUGUACACACCGCCCGUCAAGCCAUGAAAGCCGGGGGUACCUGAAGUGCGUAACCGCGAGGAGCGCCCUAGGGUAAAACUGGUGAUUGGGGCUAAGUCGUAACAAGGUAUC